CUCUGAACCCCCCUCUCAAACUCUCUCGAAGUUUCCCUAACCCUAGCCGUCUCCUACCUUUCUACCUUGAACCCACCAGAAUCCAUGGCUUCUCAUGCUGUGGGAGUCUCAUACCCACAUCCCCUUGCUCCCACGCACCUAAUACCUGAAGAUUCGAGGCCUGAACUUGAAGGUUUGCACCUAGACCUCUGCCAACUCAAGGUUCCACGGCCAUCUCCAGGCUUGCUCUGGCCUACCAUGGUGGUUUGAGCCUGAUUCCGACCUCUCCAACUUAGAUUGGUGACCUUUCAAAGCCUUUCUCAUCUCUAAAGUUCUUUUGAAACCCUACCCUUCGAGGUUUUUCUCCCGUUUCUUUGGAUUCGUUGUGUAUCUAUGCUCUCAUUGAGUUUUCAAGCAAUCUCCCUAGCUUUUCUUUCAAAAAUUACUUUCAAAACCUCUUCAUUUCCGAUCUAGGAUUUUUCGAAAAUGUUAAGUGUUUCUCUGACUUCCUCUCCUUUUACUUUUGUGUGUAUUUUCCUCUAUUUGUGUUAUAUUUUUCUUCUACCAUAUAUGUUCUUCUACUGUGUUUUCUGUGCCCCAUUCUUGUAUGUUCUUCUAUGUAUUUUCUAUGCGAUGUUCUCGUAUGCUCUUCUACUAUGUUCUGGUAUGUUUUACCUACUAUAUUUUUUCUAUUAUUUUCUUAAUUGUUUUACUAUUUUUCUUCUAUUGAACCUUGUUUAAGUUUCUUCUAAAAGGAUCUCCUUAGGCAUGUUUUUCUACUAUUCUUAUCAGUAUUCUCUUAUUAUGUUUCGAGUUAGUUUCUUUACUAUGUUUGCUUUGAACCCUUAACUGUAUUUGCAUGUUGAUCAUAAGUUUUAUUGCUGAAAGAAGCAUGUUAGAGUUUCAUUUUUUUUUCUGAAACCUCUAAAACACGUUUCUUUCCAAUCGCCAGCUCUCUCAAGUUUGAUUUUUUGAUCUGCCUGAACUAGGGUUCUUAUUUCAAAACCUCCACCUCUUUCAGACCAAUUCCUUGGAUUCAUAUGAUUCUGACCUUUUGCUUAACGCUUUUACACUGGAUUUUUCUACUAAUGUUACAUGACAAUUUUUCUUAACAUGUUCAUGUGCUCCUUAUAUAUGAUAGACUUACCUUUAAAGUGGCUUUCAAAUUUGCGACGAGUUCAUACUUUCCUCUGAGUAUGGUCUGAUUGAUUUCUUUCCAUUGUUUGCUGAUUUUCUUUAAGUUAAAUUUUUUUUAUCUUUCUAACUCGGUUCAUUCAUAACAAAUCUCUGACCUCUGAUUUCUUGGCUAUUAAUUGAUUUCAUUCC
rnacentral:lncRNA from 1 species